GAUGAAGAACGCAACGAAAUGCGAUACUUGGUGUGAAUUGCAGAAUCCCGUGAACCAUCGAGUCUUUGAACGCAAGUUGUGCCCGAAGCCACUAGGCCGAGGGCACGCCUGCCUGGGUGUCACACGUCGUUGCCCCCCCCCCAUCUACUCCUUCGGGAUUGCGGGGGGCGGAUGAUGGCCUCCCGUGCGCCUAGCCGCGCGGUUGGCAUAAAUACCAAGUCCUCGGCGACGCACGCCACGACAAUCGGUGGUUGCGAAACCUCGGUUGCCCGUCGUGUGCGUUCGUCGCGCAUCGAGGGCUCGAAAAAAUGCUCGGCUCCGGCUCGGCUUUCAACGCGACCCCAGGUCAGGCGGGGUUACCCGCUGAAUUUAAGCAUAUCAAUAAGCGGAGGA
rnacentral:misc_RNA from 1 species